CUUUACUUUGUGAAGCGGCUGGGUCAAUGACCUUCCGGUGGUCAUAGGAGAAGGGCAACACCCGUUCCCAUUCCGAAUACGGAAGUUAAGCC
rnacentral:tRNA from 1 species